rfam:Nelumbo nucifera unplaced genomic scaffold scaffold00043, whole genome shotgun sequence
GGGGAUGUAGCUCAAACGGUAGAGUGCUCGCUUAGCAUGCGAGAAGUAUGGGGUUCAAUUCCCCUCAUCUCCA